AUUGAACGCUGGCGGCGUGCCUUACACAUGCAAGUCGAACGGUAACGGGCCUUCGGGUGCCGACGAGUGGCGAACGGGUGAGUAAUACAUCGGAACGUGCCCGAUCGUGGGGGAUAACGAGGCGAAAGCUUUGCUAAUAUCGCAUACGAUCUACGGAUGAGAGCAGGGGACCGCAAGGCCUUGCGCGGACUGAGCGGCCGAUGGCAGAUUAGGUAGUUGGUGGGAUAAAAGCUUACCAAGCCGACGAUCUGUAGCUGGUCUGAGAGGAUGAUCAGCCACACUGGAACUGAGACACGGCCCAGACUCCUACGGGAGGCAGCAGUGGGGAAUUUUGGACAAAGGGCGCAAGCCUGAUCCAGCCAUGCCGCGUGCAGGAUGAAGGCCUUCGGGUUGUAAACUGCUUUUGUACGGAACGAAGAGCAUUCUUUUAAUACAGGAGGGUCAUGACGGUACCGUAAGAAUAAGCACCGGCUAACUACGUG
rnacentral:rRNA from 1 species